AAAGUCUCUGAGUUUUCCCAAUUCGAAGACUAGCUCCUAGUUUAGUUUAUAACACACUGAAACUAAUAUUACAUCAAUAGUUCAAACACAAUGAACAACUCUAAAAAUCAACGCUAAAACUCUUAGCUGGAUUCUGUACUGAGGACCAGGUUCUUCAACGUGUUUCUUCAGUGAUUGAGUAGCACUUCAUAAAGUCAAUCUGUCGAUUGUGCUUUUCUGUUUUUUAAGUGCGUGAAUUAUUC
rnacentral:lncRNA from 1 species